rnacentral:rRNA from 1 species
UGAGUAACCUGCCCUUAACUCUGGGAUAAGCCUGGGAAACUGGGUCUAAUACCGGAUAUGACUCCUCAUCGCAUGGGUGGGGGGUGGAAAGCUUUAUUGUGGUUUUGGAUGGACUCGCGGCCUAUCAGCUUGUUGGUGAGGUAAUAGCUCACCAAGGCGAUGACGGGUAGCCGGCCUGAGAGGGUGACCGGCCACACUGGGACUGAGACACGGCCCAGACUCCGUACGGGAGCAG